GAUGAACGCUGGCGGCGUGCCUAAUACAUGCAAGUCGAGCGAACAGAUAAGGAUCUUGCUCCUUUUACGUUAGCGGCGGACGGGUGAGGAAUACGUGUGUAACCGACCGAUAAGACUGGAAUAAGUCCGGGAAACCGGGUCUAAUGCCGGAUAACAUUUAGAACCGCAGGGUUCUAAAGUGAAAGAGGUAUUUGCUAUCACUUAUAGAUGGACCCGCGCCGUAUUAGCUAGUUGGUAAGGUAACGGCUUACCAAGGCAACGAUCCGUAGCCGACCUGAGAGGGUGAUCGGCCACACUGGAACUGAGACACGGUCCAGACUCCUACGGGAGGCAGCAGUAGGGAAUCUUCCGCAAUGGGCGAAAGCCUGACGGAGCAACGCCGCGUGAGUGAUGAAGGUCUUCGGAUCGUAAAACUCUGUUAGUAGGGAAGAACAAAUGUGUAAGUAACUGUGCACGUUUUGACGGUACCUACUGAGAAAGCACCGGCUAACUACGUG
rnacentral:rRNA from 1 species